rnacentral:rRNA from 1 species
CGAAAGCCUGACGGAGCAACGCCGCGUGAGGGAUGGAGGCCUUUGGGCUGUAAACCUCUUUUCUCAAGGAAGAAGAUCUGACGGUACUUGAGGAAUAAGCCACGGCUAAUUCCGUGCCAGCAGCCGCGGUAAUACGGGAGUGGCAAGCGUUAUCCGGAAUUAUUGGGCGUAAAGCGUCCGCAGGCGGCCGUUUAAGUCUGUUGUUAAAUCGUGGAGCUCAACUCCAUCACGGCAAUGGAAACUGUUCGGCUUGAGUAUGGUAGGGGCAGAGGGAAUUUCCGGUGUAGCGGUGAAAUGCGUAGAUAUCGGGAAGAACACCAGUGGCGAAAGCGCUCUGCUGGGCCAUUACUGACGCUCAUGGACGAAAGCCAGGGGAGCGAAAGGGAUUAGAUACCCCUGUAGUCCUGGCCGUAAACGAUGAACACUAGAUGUUGGGGGAAUCGACCCCCUCGGUGUCGUAGCUAACGCGUUAAGUGUUCCGCCUGGGGAGUACGCACGCAAGUGUGAAACUCAAAGGAAUUGACGGGGGCCCGCACAAGCGGUGGAGCAUGUGGUUUAAUUCGAUGCAACGCGAAGAACCUUACCAAGGCUUGACAUCCCGCGAAUCUCUAAGAAAUUAGAGAGUGCCUUCGGGAACGCAGUGACAGGUGGUGCAUGGCUGUCGUCAGCUCGUGUCGUGAGAUGUUGGGUUAAGUCCCGCAACGAGCGCAACCCACGUUUUUAGUUGCCAGCAUUCAGUUGGGCACUCCAGAAAGACUGCCGGUGACAAACCGGAGGAAGGUGUGGACGACGUCAAGUCAUCAUGCCCCUUACGCCUUGGGCUACACACGUACUACAAUGCUGCGGACAAAGAGUAGCGAUCUUGCGAAAGUUAGCUAAUCUCAUAAACCGUGGCUCAGUUCAGAUCGUAGGCUGCAACUCGCCUACGUGAAGGAGGAAUCGCUAGUAAUCGCAGGUCAGCAUACUGCGGUGAAUACGUUCCCGGGCCUUGUACACACCGCCCGUCACACCAUGGAAGUUGGCCAUGCCCGAAGUCGUUACUCUAACCUUUUGGAAGAGGGCGCCGAAGGCAGGGCUAAUGACUGGGGUGAAGUCGUAACAAGGUAGCCGUAGCGGAAGCUGCGGCUGGAUCACCUCCUAA